AUAAGUGCUCCUAUCUUCUCCGUUCUUCGCAUGCGAGCGAAAUCGAAUCUCUCCCUCUCGCGAAGCCGAAGCCUUCUCUCCCAGCUCCCUCUAUUCUCCUCCUCCUUUGUUGCUGAUCGACUUCGCUCCUUUGACGGCUUGCCUUUCCGAUCGGAUCGGAAGACACGACACUUUGUCGGAGGCCAGAUGAGAGUUCGCUGACUGGGAAACCCUAGUCGCACGCCUCUUUGCCACAUUCGUUGCUGGUCAGUUUCGCCCCGUCUACAUCAUUCCCUUCCUGAUCUAUACGAAAGUUAGAACAUUUUUGUCGCAAGUAACUUGGGAGCACGCACGUUGUUAAGGUUUUGAUCUUUCUGGUCUGUUUGAAGCAUCUGAGUGCAAGAGAAUGGUAAGAUUCACAUCCUCUAAGCCAGCUUCCAGUAUUAUUUUGAAGCUCGAGGAGGUUGCUAAGCAAUUAAGUUUGAAGAAAGAAGGAUGUAGGUGUUUUGAAAAUGGAAGAAAUAAAAGGUGGAAAGGAAGUUUUGGCCUUUGAUGUUGAGAUAUUUGAGCUGACUCCUUCAUUUCAUAUGGUUGAAAUCACUCAGAGCAAUGGAGAUACAUUAGAGUAUCAGAAGCUCUGGGAGCAGGAGAUGAAACCAGCUCUUAAGGAUAUUGUGUAGCGUUGGAUUCAAGAUCUAAAAAUUGUGACUUUGGCAAAAAGUGAUUUCUACUAUUUCUAUUUGUGUUUAGAAUGUUGAAGUGAUUAGCUAUAUGGAUUGUUUUUUCAGCAUUGUUGGGUUGAGUCUGUUGCACUAUUAAAUAUGUUUAAUAAAUGUUGUUGAUUUAUAUUAA